GAAUUUUAUUCUUCUCAGGGUAAGAAUCUAUACCUGGAAUAAUUUCUUAAUCAUAGGAUUAAGAUUUUAUAAGUAAUAAGUAAUGUUGCUUUUAAAAUUGAUUUUAUAGUCUGAAUUUAGUUUUCUUUUCAAACUUUAGAAUUGUGAGAUUUGAAGUGAUAUCAGAUAUUUAUAAAUGAUAGCAUUAUACCUUUGUCAUUUUUUUUAAGCAGAAGGAAAAUGUAACAAAUUCCACAGAAUUGCAGCAUCAGUUAGAUAAAACAAAGCAACAGCAUCAAGAACAACAAGCUCUUCAGCAAAACACUACGGCAAAACUUUGAGAAGCUCAGAAUGAUUGGGAAAAAGUGCUUCGUCAAUUUGGUGAUAAGGACCAAAAGAUCCAGAACCUUGAAGCCUUAUUACAGGAGAGUAAAGAAAAUAUUUCUUUCCUAGAAAAGGAAAGAGAAGAUUUUAUGCAAAAACUCAGGCUGGUGAAGGAGAGACCGCUGUUCUUAAUCAGUUGCAGGAAGAAAACCAUAUAUUACAGGAACAAGUAACUCAACU
rnacentral:lncRNA from 1 species